rnacentral:rRNA from 1 species
CCUACGGGAGGCAGCAGUGAGGAAUAUUGGACAAUGGGCGCAAGCCUGAUCCAGCCAUGCCGCGUGCAGGAUGACGGUCCUAUGGAUUGUAAACUGCUUUUGCACAGGAAGAAACAACGCUACGUGUAGCGUCUUGACGGUACUGUGAGAAUAAGGAUCGGCUAACUCCGUGCCAGCAGCCGCGGUAA